rnacentral:rRNA from 1 species
GAUGAACGCUGGCGGCGUGCCUAAUACAUGCAAGUCGAGCGAACAGAUAAGGAGCUUACUCCUUUGACGUUAGCGGCGGACGGGUGAGUAACACGUGGGUAACCUACCUAUAAGACUGGGAUAACUUCGGGAAACCGGAGCUAAUACCGGAUAACAUUUGGAACCGCAUGGUUCUAAAGUGAAAGAUGGUUUUGCUAUCACUUAUAGAUGGACCCGCGCCGUAUUAGCUAGUUGGUAAGGUAACGGCUUACCAAGGCGACGAUACGUAGCCGACCUGAGAGGGUGAUCGGCCACACUGGAACUGAGACACGGUCCAGACUCCUACGGGAGGCAGCAGUAGGGAAUCUUCCGCAAUGGGCGAAAGCCUGACGGAGCAACGCCGCGUGAGUGAUGAAGGGUUUCGGCUCGUAAAACUCUGUUAUUAGGGAAGAACAAAUGUGUAAGUAACUGUGCACGUCUUGACGGUACCUAAUCAGAAAGCCACGGCUAACUACGUG